UUUUUUAUAAAAGUAAUUUAUUUAUUUAAGGUUUUAGUAUUAAUUAAAAAUUAAUUUAUAGAUUUAUAGUUUAAUAGUAUUGUGAAAGAAUUAAUUAAUUUAAUAAAAGAAUUUUUUUAGUACCUUUUGUAUCAGGGUUGAUUAAAAUUUUUAAUUUUUUUUUAAUUUCUCAAAAUUUAUAGAGUUAAUUUUAUUAUUAAUUUAUUGUGUUAUAAAUAUUUAUAAAAUAAUAUUAGUUUUGAAAUUUAAUUCGUUAUAUUAUAUUUAGUUAUUUAAGAUUUAAAUUUAAUUUAAAAUUUUAAAAGUUAUAUUGAUUUUGUUGAUUUAUAUUUUAAAUUUAAAUUAUUUUAAGGAUAAGCUUGAAAUUUUAAUAUAAUAAUUUAUUUAUGUUAAUAAUUUAUAGGAAUAGAAAUUUUUAUUUUAAGUUUGUAAAAAUUUAUUAUUUAUUUAGUUUUAAUUUAUUAUAAUUUUAUUUAUUUUUUUUAUUAAAUUUUAUUAAUUAAUAUUUUAUUAAUAGUAAUAAUGAUUAAAUUAGUAUAAUUAAUAUUUAUAAAUUAUGAAUUCGGCAAAAAUUAUUUUCAUCUGUUUAACAAAAACAUUGUAUUAAGUUUAAUUUAAUAUAGGAUCUGCUCAAUGAUUUAUUAAAUAGCUGCAGUAUUUUGACUGUGCAAAGGUAGCGUAAUAAUUAGUCUUUUAAUUGGGGACUUGUAUGAAAGAUUUGAUGAGAAAUAAACUUUAUUAUUUAUAUAAUUAAAAUUUUAUUUUUAAGUAAAAAAGCUUAAAUUUUUUAAAGGGACGAUAAGACCCUAUAAAACUUUAUAAAUGAUAGAAUUGAUUUUUUUGGAUUUAUAAAUAUUUUAUUUUUAUUUUUUAUUUUAUUGGGGUGAUAAAAAAAAUUAAUUAACUUUUUUUAAAUUUUAACAUUAUUUAAUGAUUAUUUGAAUUAAAAUUUUUAAUUAAAGGAAAAAGUUACUUUAGGGAUAACAGCGUAAUUAGUUUUUUAAGUUCAAAUUUAAAAAUUAGUUUGCGACCUCGAUGUUGAAUUAAGAUUAAUCUUAGGUGCAAAAUUUUAAGUAUUAGGUCUGUUCGACCUUUAAAUUCUUACAUGAUUUGAGUUCAAACC
rnacentral:rRNA from 1 species